rnacentral:rRNA from 1 species
UACGUAGGUGGCAAGCGUUGUCCGGAUUUACUGGGUGUAAAGGGCGUGUAGGCGGAGCUGCAAGUCAGAUGUGAAAUCCCGGGGCUCAACCCCGGAACUGCAUUUGAAACUGUAGCCCUUGAGUAUCGGAGAGGCAGGCGGAAUUCCUAGUGUAGCGGUGAAAUGCGUAGAUAUUAGGAGGAACACCAGUGGCGAAGGCGGCCUGCUGGACUGCGACUGACGUUGAGGCCCGAAAGCGUGGGGAGCAAACAGG